rnacentral:rRNA from 1 species
AAAUUCCUGGGAAGGAAUGCCGAAGAAUGUGAAAGCCAUGUAAGCGAAAAUGGAAAAGGGACAGGCAGCACCAGAGUACCGCGGGACACGAGAAACCCCGUGGGAAGCCGGGGGGACCACCCUCCAAGGCAAAACACAGAUAUCGACCGAUAGCGCAUAGUACCAUGAGGGAAAGGUGAAAAGCACCCCGGGAGGGGAAUGAAAGAGAACCUGAAACCGUAUGUUUACAAGCAGUCGAAGACCGCUUAAUAAUAAGGUCAACGGCGUGCCUAUUGAAGAAUGAACCGGCGAGUUACUUCGUCCAGCGAGGUUAAGCAGGAAAUGCGGAGCCGCAGCGAAAGCGAGUCUGAAGAGGGCGAGAAGUUGGAGGGAGUAGACCCGAAACCACAGUGAUCUACCCAUGUCCAGGUUGAAGCACAGGUAAAAAUGUGUGGAGGACCGAACCAGUGAGCGUUGAAAAGCUUUUGGAUGAGAUGUGGGUAGGGGUGAAAUGCCAAUCGAACGUGGAGAUAGCUGGUUCUCCCCGAAAUAGCUUUAGGGCUAGCCUCGAGGUAGAGAUUGCAGGCGGUAGAGCACUGAUCAGGAGAGGGGCCUACCCGGCUACCAAACCCAGUCAAACUACGAAUGGCUGCAAUUAUACUCGGGAGUCAGACUACGACUUAUAAGGGCCGUGGUCAAAAGGGAAACAGCCCAGAUCAUCAGCUAAGGUCCCAAAUGCCGUGCUAAGUGGCGAAGGAUGUGGCGUUUCAUAAACAACCAGGAUGUUGGCUCAGAAGCAGCCACCAUUUAAAGAGUGCGUAAUAGCUCACUGGUCGAGAGACGCUGCGCCGAAAAUGUCCGGGGCUCAAGCACGGAACCGAAGCUAUGGCAUGAUAGCAAUAUCAUGGGUAGGGGAGCGUUCUUAUAAGGAAGAAGCAUGACCGGAAGGACAUGUGGACAAAUAAGAAGUGAGAAUGCCGGUAUGAGUAUCGAAAAGAAAGGUGAGAAUCCUUUCCACCGAAAGCCCGAGGGUUCCUGAGCAACGAUCGUCGUCUCAGGGUAAGUCGGGACCUAAGCCGAGGCGGAAAAGCGUAGGCGAUGGACAACAGGUUGAAAUUCCUGUACCGGUGUGAAUCGUUUGAUCGAUGGAGUGACACAGUAAGGUAGGUCAGCACGCGAUUGGAAGAGCGUGUUUAAGCAGGUAGGUUGAGCUAUAGGCAAAUCCGUAGCUCUAAAAGCUGAGAUGUGAUGACGAGUUACUAGCGAUAGUAACGAAGUGAUUGAUCCUACACUGUCGAGAAAAGCUUCUAGGUAGAGACACAUCGCCCGUACCAAAACCGACACAGGUAGGCGGGGAGAGAAUCCUAAGGUGCGCGGGAAAACCCUCGUUAAGGAACUCGGCAAAUUGCAUCCGUAACUUAGGGAGAAGGAUGACCUUAAGUAAGCGAAAGGGAGAAACCCCUGGAACAGAACAAGGUGGCAGAAAAGAGGCCCAAGCAACUGUUUACCAAAAACACAGGUGCCUGCGAAAGCGAAAGCUGAAGUAUAGGUGCUGACGCCUGCCCGGUGCCGGAAGGUUAAGGAGAGAAGUUAGCGAAAGCGAAGCAUCGAACUGAAGCCCCGGUGAACGGCGGCCGUAACUAUAACGGUCCUAAGGUAGCGAAAUUCCUUGUCGGGUAAG